rnacentral:rRNA from 1 species
UACGUAGGGCGCAAGCGUUAUCCGGAAUUAUUGGGCGUAAAGAGCUCGUAGGCGGUUUGUCGCGUCUGCCGUGAAAGUCCGGGGCUCAACUCCGGAUCUGCGGUGGGUACGGGCAGACUAGAGUGAUGUAGGGGAGACUGGAAUUCCUGGUGUAGCGGUGAAAUGCGCAGAUAUCAGGAGGAACACCGGUGGCGAAGGCGGGUCUCUGGGCAAUAACUGACGCUGAGGAGCGAAAGGGUGGGGAGCGAACAGG